AAUGGUGUAUGCCUUCUCUCAAAGUAUAUGGUAUUUUUGGUAUGAGGCAUAGUGGCAUUGCCUUCUCUCACCCUACUCUAAUAAGGUUUUGAUAUCUGGAGCUCAUAGGUGGGAGACAGCUAAUACAUACUUACAAGACAUUUAUUGCAUAGUCAAACCAUGGAUCCAAAGAAACAAGUCAAUAAGUCAAAUCAAGAUGUGCAUGUGUGGCGAAUGAAUGGUGUAUGGUGAUAAUGAUGAUAACAAUGGUGAAAGUCUAAUUCUACUUUUGCUCUUUUGAGGGAUACAUACCUUUCUUGCUCUUUUGAAACUUUUUGAGGAGAAUGAGAUGCUCUAUAUUUUCUUUUUCUUUUCUCUCAGGUGGGUAUCUUGUACCCCUAAUUCUACUGUCGGACACUUGUCCAUUUUUACCUCUCGUCUCACCUUUUCUUUUCUUUCGAGGUUCCGGGCACUUGCCCCUUUUUAUUUCCUCGUAUCUCUCCCU
rnacentral:lncRNA from 1 species